rnacentral:rRNA from 1 species
GACAGAGGGGGCAAGCGUUGCUCGGAAUCACUGGGCGUAAAGAGCGUGUAGGCGGCUCGAUAAGUCUGCUGUGAAAGUCCAGGGCUCAACCCUGGAAGGCCGGUGGAAACUGUCGGGCUAGAGUCCGGAAGAGGCGAGUGGAAUUCCCGGUGUAGCGGUGAAAUGCGCAGAUAUCGGGAGGAACACCAAUGGCGAAGGCAGCUCGCUGGGACGGUACUGACGCUGAGGCGCGAAAGCCAGGGGAGCAAACGGG